UGUCUGGCAUGGAGAAUCUGACCGCGACGCCGCGUGCGGGAUGAAGGCCUUCGGGUUGUAAACCGCUUUCAGCAGGGAAGAAGCGAAAGUGACGGUACCUGCAGAAGAAGCACCGGCUAACUAUGUGCCAGCAGCCGCGGUAAUACAUAGGGUGCAAGCGUUGUCCGGAAUUAUUGGGCGUAAAGAGCUCGUAGGUGGUUCGUCACGUCGGAUGUGAAAAUCUGGGGCUUAACCCCAGACCUGCAUUCGAUACGGGCGAGCUAGAGUGUGGUAGGGGAGACUGGAAUUCCUGGUGUAGCGGUGGAAUGCGCAGAUAUGGGGGGGGGGGGGCAAUGGCGAAGGCAGGUCUCUGGGCCAUUACUGACACUGAGGAGCGAAA
rnacentral:rRNA from 1 species